rnacentral:rRNA from 1 species
AUGUACAGGAACCAGUUUAGGCCGGAUCGCUUCAACGACAACACAAACGCUGCCCGAAGGACCGGCCGUGGCUGCAUUGGUGGCACGCACCAUUGGGUGGUGUCCGGUGGCCGCGGCAGCGCGGCUCCGGGCACGCGGCUACGUUCACCGCCCAACCGGAGCGGAAGGCCUGGGACCGUGCAGCAGUACCGUCCGAGGUCUCCAGCAAGCGUGGUGCCCCAAGGGAAUGCAACUAACUACACUCCCGUUGUGAGUGCUGCUGAUGAGCACGCGGAACCAGUGAAUCCAGCAUCUUUAGGGUCAUUGGAGAGUCAGAAAUCUUCCAAUGCGCCUGAUCAAAGUGACGUUGUGAACUUAGAGUCUGCUGAAGGAGCCAGAGCAGAGGAUUCUUCGGUGCUAACAAUACACUCAGAAGGGUAUUCAGCAAGUGCAUUUACUCUUCAGUUUGGAACUUUAAGCCCAGGAGUCAUCACCAAACAAUGUAUUCCCUGCUCAACCUCGGCUCCUCCAGACCUGAAUGAGAAGAAACAUGAAAAGUGUCAGGCACACCGUGGACUAUUAUCUGACGAGCCUAAUGUCGUGUCCAUGCCAUCUGCCGGAGAGCAGCAAAAGCAAGAAACAAAAGAUAACUUGAUUAUCUGUAGUCAAACUGAUUCGAUCGACACGUAUGAUAGUGUGCCUGCUAUGGUUUCAUCUAAUUCCUGUGUACUAGCUGAUCCUGAAUUGCCUCAUACACCAGGGCUGUAUUAUGUUGCUCCAGCCGAAAAAGUUUCUACGGAUUCAUGCAAGGUGUUCCCUCGAAAUCCGUCUUUCCCAACGCAUCAGCAGUGGCAAAAACAAGACACAAGGAAAGACGCUAGCCAAUCUGAUACUAUGCACAAAUAUCCUGCUUCGAAUCCCAAGAUGACGGUGCAGAUUCCACCCCCGUAUACUCCCAGCAUGGCACCACCAUCGUUUAUGCUUCCAGUAAAUGGAAGGCCGCUGCCUGCGGCUUUUCAGCAGAAACAACCUCAAGUGCCUGUUGAAUUCAGGGGCCAGGGUGUGCCGAUGGGUAAUGUGCCUCAUGUACCACCAUUUUUUGUUCAUGGCGCUCAGGCUCGCGCAUUGCAACCGCCAGCCUUCGUUCACCAAGGACAGGGUCUGGGAUGUGCACCUCCAGCUUGUCCUCACCUUCCUCAACUGGGCAACAUGAGGAUUACGCAAGAGUUACCGCAGCAGCAAGCGAGAAGUUGUGAUGAACAAAAGAGACCUGUCAGGAUUACCCACCCAGACACACACGAAGAACUCAUGCUGGAUAGACGUGGUCAUUCCUAUAUAGAUGCUGCUUCUGGAGCGAUGCCUCUGCAUCAUAUGAACCAGCUAGCUCAGCCUGUCACGUCAUUUCCGCCCCUUCAUGAGGUGUAUUACCGGCCGAACAUGUACAAUACAGGACAUAUCUAUCUUCCUACCACCAAUGCUGUGCCUGCUUCAAACAGGCAAAUGUGCCCCAGAAUGCAGACCCCAAGGCAUAGCUUAGACCCCAAUAUUAACAACCAGGCAGUUACUUCUAUCAGUCCUCCUAUGCAAAACCCAUGGCUUGGUGCUAGUUCUAGGCUACCCACCAAUUUACGUUCUGCUUCAGAAGUCUCCAGUUCGAAAGGCUUGCUGCCAUCUGACGUAUCUUUUCCAGGUCAAGGUGCACUAAAGCCACCCACUAUCUUCCUUGCUGAAAAUAAUGAGUUAUCAUCUCAGAUAAGCACACCUACCUGCGCAGCAGAAACUCCCACGUUGUUACGGUAUUCUGUUGAAUCUGCUUUGUCAAGUCAGCAGAGAGUCCACAAGCUUGGGCUGGAAAUUUCUCCUCAGCCUGAAAAGUUGGUUUCAGAAGCAAAUCUCAAACUUCCAGCUGCAACAUCUGGUCUAAGUUGCAGUACUAGUCCUCAGUCAGUUUUAACCCAGCAAGCACAGACUGGUUCAGCUUUAGUAGAUCGUGUUACAUCAAUUGCCGGACCUCAAAAUAUCUCGGCCUACAAAUUAACCUCGGUGUGUGUAGCAAGUGGUACCUCUUCUGUUGAAGCAAAAUUGGAAUCAUCAGCAGUACCAUCAGCAACUUCAUCAUCUGGUGCAAAGGGCCAGCUAUAUCAUAUUGUGCCACAAUCUGAAAUAUUUCUGGAUACUGAGAGUAAGAAUUCCAAAUACGAUGGCAAUAGCAUUUUAGGGAAGCCACCGCUGAUGUAUACACAGGAAACUCUGCCACCAAAGUCUCCAACAACUAGUAUAUUUACUGAAAGUCUUAAGGCCAGAGUUAAUCAUGUUCCUUUGCCAGAAACUUCUGAAGCAAAUUGUUCAGCUCCUUUGCAAAUGCAAGAUAUGAUGAGAGAAGAACACACGGUAAAUGCUGAGGUGACAUGCUCCAAGUCUAAGGCAGAACAAGUUGACAUGACCAUGCAUAUGCCAGGUGCUUCUUCUGGAUCGGGCAAUGGUACUGAUGUUAGUAAAUUGGUGAAUGUUCCUACAUGUGCUGAAUCGGGCGAUUUGCAUCUCUCAUUACACAUUGGCAAUGUUUCACCAUCAGAUAAAAACAAUGGAUCUUCAUCAGAUGUUCAAAUUGGAUCAUGUUCUCUGAAUGAUAGUAUACAAGACAAUGAGAAUAUUCCCAUGACUAUGGCUAUUGCAUCCAAUUCAAGUAGCGCUCACAAAGAGAUUGAACGUGGAAGUAUUGAUUCAGUGGUGUCGAAUCAAUGCUCUGUUGCUGCUGCUUCAAUGGUGAAAACAAAGAAACCUGUCUUGGAAGCAGCCAAACCCAAAAAUACGCAUGGAAGAAGAAAAAAGAGAAAGGAAAUACUCCCCAAGUCUUCUGAUAGUGCAGAAGAGGUUGUUCAGAGUUCUUCGACAGUUGAUAAGGAGAUUUGUGCACUAGAUGCUGAAAUGGGCAGUUCGGCAGGUAGUAAUGAUAACCAGAACAAAAAUGAUAUUUUUGAUUGGGAAGGUGAUAUGGAAAUCUCUAGAGAUAAUUAUGGUUAUGGCCAGAAAAGAUACUCUAGAGAUUUUCUGUUAACAUUUGCUCAGAGCUGCGUUAAUCUGCCUGAAGGUUUUAAGAUUGGGUCUGAUAUUCAUGAUGCAAUAAUAAACGUUGGUAGUGAACAUAAUCCAAACCGGGAAAGGACAAAAGAUCGAGUUUCAACUAUUUCUCAAGCUAACCGUCAUAUGGGCAGCAACAAGCUUAAUGACAAUAACUGGAGAAAAUUGCAUCCUCCUUUUUCUGGACGCGAUCCACUUUCUGGGCGUGGAUCUUCAAGAAAUGGCUCACAAAACCAGUUGCCCAACCAGUAUAAUGGUGAGAUCCUCUCCAGAGCUAUGAAAGAAGUAGCAUGUCAGCGCAGCAUGUCACGUGGUUCUGUUGAUCAGAGGUGGCAACAUAGAACUAAUCAGGCUAUGUCAUCUCCAUCUCAGGUAUCUAUGCCAGUUAUGCACAAAGCUGAGAAAAAAUAUGAAAUUGGUAAGGUAUCUGAUGAGGAAGAGGUAAAGCAAAGGCAGUUGAAAGCAAUUCUCAAUAAGUUGACCCCACAAAAUUUUGAAAAACUUUUCGAGCAGGUCAAAGCUUUGAAUAUUGAUAACAUUAUUACACUUAGCGGUGUCAUUUCUCAGAUAUUUGACAAGGCCUUGAUGGAACCCACUUUCUGUGAGAUGUAUGCUAGUUUUUGUUUUUCAUUAGCUGGUGAACUGCCAAAUUUUGUGAAGGAUGAUGAGAAAAUCACCUUUAAGAGACUUCUUUUAAAUAAAUGCCAAGAAGAAUUUGAAAGAGGGGAGCGAGAGCAAGCUGAAGCUGAGAAGGCUGAAGAAGAGGGUGGAAUGAAACAAUCUGAAAAUGAGAGGGAAGAGAAACGACUCCGAGCACGGAGGCGCAUGCUAGGGAACAUCCGUUUAAUUGGGGAACUUUACAAAAAAAAGAUGUUGACUGAGAGAAUAAUGCAUGAAUGCAUAAAAAAGCUACUGGGUGAGUACCAACACCCAGAUGAGGAAGAUCUAGAGGCAUUAUGCAAAUUGAUGAGCACGAUAGGGGAGAUGAUUGACCAUAUCAGGGCAAAGGUGCAUAUGGAUUUUUAUUUUGACAUUAUACAUAAGCUAUCUGCAAAUUCGAAGUUAUCAUCCCGUAUAAGAUUUAUGCUGGAAGAUGUGAUUGAUCUUAGAAACAACAAGUGGAGGCAGAGAAGGAAAGUUGAAGGGCCAAAGAAGAUUGAGGAGGUUCGAAGGGAUGCUGUGAAACAGAAAAUGAGCCAAUCAACUAGGGUAGGUUCUUCCCCUAACUAUAACUCAUCUGCUAGCUCCAUUAGCUCAUCAGCAAGACCAGGGCCUCCACCAGAUUAUGGUGUUCGAGGAUCUUCUGCUUCUCGUGGAUCCUCUCAGGUUCGUGUAUAUGGAUCCCAGAAUGUUAAUCUGGAUACAAGAUACCAGACUUCAAACAGAGCCAUGUCAGUCCCACUUCAUCAAAGGCGAUCUGAUAAAUCCAUUCGACUUAGUCCUCAAGGUGACUUGGGAAGAGAAAUGUCAAUUUGUGGGAAGCCACCAGCUUCAAAUGACAUUUUGCCAGAGGUUCCUUUGAAUAGUCAUCAUGGUCAAACAUUAAAAAGCUCGAGACAAAGUUCAUUUACGGGAUCAACAAGUAACCAAACAAAUUAUCAAGCCACUGCCGGUGCUCCUAAAAUUCAGUCCUGGGGAACUGCAGAUCAUGCUUUGCCUAUACUAGUGACCACUGCCAGCCCUGUCGGGCAAAUGCAUACACCCUCCACUGCCAUGAAUGAUAUUUGUUAUGAAGCAAUAAUAUUACCGGAAGAGAUUCUUCAAGAAAAAGCAAUAUUAACUAUAAAAGAGUUCUACAGUGCCAAGGACGAGAAGGAGGUGGGCCUGUGCAUGAAGGAACUGAACGCCCCCAGCUUUUACCCUUCACUUGUAUCGCUCUGGAUCAACGACUCGUUUGAAAGGAAAGACCUUGAGAGGGAGCUCCUGGCCAAACUUUUGGUGAACUUGUGCAAGUCCCAGGGGAGCUUGCUGAGCCAGACAGUGCUACUCCAGGGGUUCCAGAAUGUUCUUUCAACCUUGGAAGAUGCGGUGACCGAUGCUCCGAAGGCGACUGAGUUCCUGGGCCGGAUAUUCGCCAAGGUCAUACUGGAGGACGUGUUGUCGCUGACGGAGAUCGGGGUGCUGCUGCAGGACGGUGGGGAGGAGCCGGCGUCGGACCAAAGGCUUGCAUCCGAGGUUCUAGGGAGCAUGCUGGAGUCGAUAAGGGUGGAGAGGGGCGACUCCGCCGUGGACGAGAUCCGUGCCAAGUCCAACCCACACCCGGAGAACCUCAGGCAGCCUGGCCUGUGCGCCUGA